GACGUAGGGGGCGAGCGUUGUCCGGAUUUAUUGGGCGUAAAGAGCUCGUAGGCGGCUCGUUGCGUCGGCUGUGAAAACCCGCAGCUCAACUGUGGGCUUGCAGCCGAUACGGGCGGGCUGGAGUUCGGUAGGGGAGACUGGAAUUCCUGGUGUAGCGGUGAAAUGCGCAGAUAUCAGGAGGAACACCGGUGGCGAGGGCGGGUCUCUGGGCCGAUACUGACGCUGAGGAGCGAAAGCGUGGGGAGCGAACAGG
rnacentral:rRNA from 1 species